rnacentral:rRNA from 1 species
AUUGAACGCUGGCGGCAGGCCUAACACAUGCAAGUCGAGCGGCAGCGGGGUUGUAGCAAUACAAUCGCUGGCGACCGGCAAACGGGUGCGGAACACGUACACAACCUUCCUUUAAGUGGGGAAUAGCCCAGAGAAAUUUGGAUUAAUACCCCGUAACAUAAUGAAGUGGCAUCACUUUAUUAUUAUAGCUCCGGCGCUUAAAGAUGGGUGUGCGGCUGAUUAGAUAGUUGGCGGGGUAACGGCCCACCAAGUCGACGAUCAGUAACUGGUGUGAGAGCACGACCAGUCACACGGGCACUGAGACACGGGCCCGACUCCUACGGGAGGCAGCAGUAAGGAAUAUUGGUCAAUGGACGCAAGUCUGAACCAGCCAUGCCGCGUGGAGGAUGAAGGUCCUCUGGAUUGUAAACUUCUUUUAUUUGGGAAGAAAUCUAUCUUUUCUUGGAUAGUUGACGGUACCAGAUGAAUAAGCACCGGCUAACUCCGUGCCAGCCGCCGCGGUAA